UGCCAGCAGCCGCGGUAACACGUAAGGUGCAAGCGUUGUUCAGAAUUAUUGGGCGUAAAGGGCUCGUAGGCGGCUGCCAAGUCCCACGUGAAAGACCAGGGCUCAACCCUGGGGGCGCGAGGGAAACUGGCAAGCUUGAAUCCUGGAGGGGGUACUGGAAUUCCUGGUGUAGGGGUGAAAUCUGUUGAUAUCAGGAAGAACACCGGGGGCGAAGGCGAGUACCUGGCCAAGGAUUGACGCUGAUGAGCGAAAGCGUAGGGAGCGAACAGGAUUAGAUA
rnacentral:rRNA from 1 species